UGACAGAGAACUUGAAAGUCUGCAUUGGC
rnacentral:piRNA from 2 species